rnacentral:rRNA from 1 species
AGGACGAACGCUGGCGGCGUGCCUAAUGCAUGCAAGUCGCACGCACUCUUCGGAGUGAGUGGCGCACGGCUGAGGAGCACGUGGCUGACCUACCCCGGCGUGGGGGAUAACGGGCCGAAAGGCUCGCUAAUCCCGCAUACGAUCACCCUUGCGGGUGAGGAAAGCUUCGGCGCGCUGGGCGGGGCCGCGUCCCGAUUAGGUUGUUGGUGUGGUAAUGGCGCACCAAGCCGAUGAUGGGUUCCGGGUCUGAGAGGACGACCCGGCAGACUGGGACUGAGACACGGCCCAGACUCCUACGGGGGGCAGCAGCAAGGAAUUUUCGGCAAUGGGCGCAAGCCUGACCGAGCAACGCCGCGUGGAGGAUGACGGCUUUCGGGUUGUAAACUCCUUUUAGGUGGGACGAUAAUGACGGUACCAUCUGAAUCAGACCCGGCUAACUACGUGCCAGCAGCCGC